UAUGUGCGAUGGCUGUCCGACCUCCAAGCGCGUGUGAUCACUGGAAAGCUCUUCGGGAACUUUGAUCGUGCUUCUUGCGCGGAGAUUAAUUGGAUGGAAAAGUUGGGCAUAGGUACCUAUGUACAUAUAAGAUGGUGGUGUGGGUAAAUUGCGUGUGGGAGGAGGAACACGAAAUAAAGGGGGAGGAUCUGACGAUAGAUGUAUAAUUUCUCUUUCUACCUUCAAUUGAAAUUCGUUGGCAAUAAACAACCAUUUUUCCCCCUCGUCUUUUGCAUGGCGACAAAUUUUACAGUGUUGCCAUUUUCGCCGUACGAUCAUCUUGUGAACGAAGCACCCCAAUACAUAUAUUCGUAAACUCCCGGCGACAAGAAAUUCUGUCGCGUCGCGAUCAUUUCGUCAUAACGACCUGAGUGAGAAUUGUACAAAUGUGUUGGGCGCUCUUCUAGAUACAUAUUAUAUACGUUGUACACAGUUGCACACAUAUUGGCACAUGUUGGGUGUCUCAUUAAAUAAGAAGAAACAAAUGGGAAUUAUCGAGUCGCGCCAUAGAGCUUCGAAAUCGACGGCGCUGCUGUGUGAAUUUUGUAUUAAAUUGCACGAAUGCCUGAGUUGAAAAAGCAAAUGAUAUAUAGGAGUCGGUGGGUAGUCAGCGGUGGUAGUGGUAGUGCACGCAUACAAGAGCUAAAGGUGGGUUUUGGGUAUGUGUGCCCGGCUAUUGCUCCCUCGAAGCUCAGCCGAGUAAACGCCACAGCCGAGCUACAGCAGUGCCUUUGAUAUCGACUCGACUUUGGUAGCUCAUUUCAGCACAAACUGUCUCUUGGUGAAGUCGAUUUUCCAUCAUAGCUCUCUGUCGGCUUCUUCUUCACCAACCAAUCUUCCAGCCAGACAUACCACCAUUCCCCCCAUUCCUCACGGUGCUCCGAGUGUUCUCUUUCUCUCUCUCACACACCUUUUCCGCGAUUAAUUUGAAAAGAUAAAAAUUCGAUAUAAAAAAUGAGAAAAAGUUUUUCCAAAUUGUUUGAAAAUCAGUGAUUUUUUUGGCAAAGAAAAAUUUGAAGAAAAAAAAAAGAAGUUGCAUGUUGUAAAGUGAUUGCAGUGAUUGAGUGAUGGACUGAAGAGACUGUUACAAGAAAAAAAAUCACACAUCCAGAGGCUUGGUGAAAAUUCAAUGAAAAUUAAUUUGUGCGAUCAAUAAGAAAACUACAUACAUUGGAUUUUUCUCAACACUGUGACUUUUCUCAAAUAAAUGAAUUUGGAACGACGCAGAAGAAGUUAUUAAUUUUUUUGUCUGAACAUCAAGGAAGACCCCCAACCAUAUGGAAUGGAAAAUCACAAAGUUUUUUUGGUUGAUGGGAAAAUCCUCAAGAGUUACAUUGACUCACCCAAACCCCUUUCCCCCUGUGUGAGAGGAGGGAUGGCGCAUCGGUACACAAUAUUGUGAAAUUGUCUCGGAAUGACGAUGUGGCGCGACAGAGACACACAACUUCCCGGACGGAUAAAUCUGCAAGUCAGCAAGAAGACGGUUUAUCGGGGAUGUGAUGCCGUAGAGCUGUGAAAAAGAUCUUCCCAAUUCACCAAUAUCCCCCUCGCCGUGUUGGCUGAAUGUCUGAAUCGCAGAGAGAAAGAACGCGAACAGCACACACCAAGACACCAUUUCAAUUUCAAAUAAUCUUGAUGAAUAUGGUAACGAUAAAAGUACUGUGUGACAUGCAAAAUAGCCGGUCAAGUGAAAGUCUCUGAACGGAGACUCUACCUGGCCUUGAGUUCGACCCGAGAGACGACCACUUUGAGAGAGAAAGAGAACCUUCGGGGUUUUUACGACAUGUCUUUUUUUUAUUUUUUCUUUAAAACAAAAAGAAAUAUCUCAUAGUUAUUAAUUACCUUUGCGCGUAAUUGCUCGUAAUCAAUAAUUUUUCUUGAAAAAAAAAACGUAAAAAUUUAACAACAUAAAAAAAUUUCAAGUGCGUCAAUGAUUGGAAAAAUCCCCCCAAAGACCGAAGACUCGAAGCCAGAGACGCCACUGGAUUUUCCCCUUCUGGACAUUGUCUCCAUUGCGGUAUAUCUGCGACCAAAUAAGAUUAUUUCCAUGGUUUUGCAAUUGACAUUGUGUGCAUAUUCAUCUGUGAACGGGGAAAAUUAAUUGGACGACCGCAAGGAUGUGACGAAGAUGCCGUAUGGAUUACAAACAAUUAUAUAUCGCAAGUGCUUGAAAAAGCUCACAUAAGGGGACCUCUCACGGAUCUACAUCAUGCAACAUAUCAGACGGUGUGAAGCACACUGAAAAAUCGUCCCGGAGACACAAAAAUGGAAACCCCCUGCGUGUGUAAAGUAAAAAAAAUGAAAAAAUAUUCAUCUGGUUUGCGACCACGCAAUAAAACGAAUUUUUCGCAAAGAGAGACAAAAGGGGUUGCGCGCGCACGCAGGAGUGUCGAGAUUUUGGGUGAGAUAUGGGUUGAGAGAUGAAAGGACCAUGUAGAGACGAUCGCAAGGAGGGUAAGAAUUUGCCGUAGACGAGGAAGAGGUGUCAGUGAACUGGUUUAUUCGCAUGCAAAAGGAUCACAUCAAGGACACGGUGUGUCUGGAAAUCUACCGUCACACAAAUCCCUGACGCAUUAACCGGGGAACUUUUUUGCUGGUGCCCUCCUGCAAACGAUCUCUUUGCCGAAAAUUUUUGAAGAGGGACUCUUGAGACCCAAAAAUUUGCCGUGUGUGAGAAUGAAUUGUCGCGCACAUCGAACCCAGAAGAAAUAACGCGAAGAGAGAACAAAAAAAAAAAUGCCAAAAGGGGACUCAACGCGGGAAGAACAUCUGUAAGGAAUACCCCCAAAAGCACAGCACAGAGAGAAGCAAAAGUAUGAUGAGGAAUUGAAGUAUAUGGGGAGAAGAAGAGAGGGGGACCUACACUUCAAAUGCCCACCUGCUGCUUGAUUAAGAAUUAUUACCCCGCCCAGGUAUUGAACCUCUUGGCAAUGUGUGAGUAUGCCCGGUUUAUUUUUUGCAAUAUAUUCCAUCUCAUUUUAAUUCUCUCCUAUUAUUAAUAAUAAUUAGCCAAUAAAAAUGAUAAUUGCUUGUAGUGCGAAGAUCAGCAGACACAUCGUGCACUCUUGUGGCCGAGGUAGCGGAGCACCGACGGCGCCUCUUCUGUUGUGUAUGGCUGUGAAGAAUGCAACGGAGGAGUUUAAUGCACCGUGAAAUUGGGUGAACAAAAGUCUGCUAACUCGUAUAACCCUCGGCGGCAGUGUGUGGUACCACCAAGUGUGUCCGAUCGGUGGUUUGGUUGUGCGCAAUCCAUUUGGGGGUCUCUCAUUGUGGCAAAGUUCUCUGGUGUACGCGCGCGCUCCACCAUUGCACCCUCACACAGCCCCAAAGUUCCGCAAAAAUUCUCACUCAAGGCAUGAGAGCAAAAUGGUCAUGAGUAAUUUGGUGUUGUGCCUUCUGUGUGUUCCACCGAUUAGCGCACAAUCCAGCACAGAGAUUCGAUCAUCUCGCAAUACAAACACAUUAACCCAAACAUAAAUCACCCACGCAACGAUCUUCACUUGUGAGUUUGAUCUUCUUGUUCAGCCAUUUCGAAAACAUGCAGUCGGCAUCUAUUUUUAAAUCACCAACCUCAUCCUCUUUGCUGCGCCAAACCUCGAUGGUGAAGAAGUUGAUACACCACACCUCACCUCCCCUGCCAACCCACCUUCCCACCUUCCUUCCCUCCGCCACACACACAAUAAGAUUUCCCCGAGAGCAAUAUACAUACUUUUUUUUAUCUGUGUUAAUAGCUUCAAACAACUAAUUGACGCAUUCCCUAUAUUCAGCACGCACUACAACUUUUUCUUUCUCUUCUUCCCCCCACACCACAUCCGCGCGCCCUAUGGCGUCGGCCCAUAUAACAGCAUAUUAUGUAUACCAUGCACUUUACCUCCUGCCCCCCCUCUCUCGUACCCGCUCUCUUCCAGCCAGUAUGUGGACCUUACAAGAUGCGAAUGAGAUGCACAACAAACACGGGAUGCGAGGUCAAUUUCCGGACAAACUUUACUUACGAAGCAUUUAAAGAUUUCUGUUUUGCGCGCUACACAGGGCCUUUGGACUUUGCAUUUGAGAUUUGAGUCAGGUACCUGAAGUAGCGCGCGAAACGGAAAUACCAACACGAUAGGCCCAAUGCUAGGCACCUCCACACACAGCCGUAUAUUUUUGGGUGGAAAUGUUGUGCUAUUUUCUCCGGCAUCUCAACAGUGCAAUUGCACCUACGCCACGACUCACUAGGCAUUGUCGCAUGUCUAUUGUACUUCAUCAGGUGCUCUGGUUACUUUAGAUACCCGGCACAUGAUGGAGUACACUUCAUGUGCGAUCAACUGAUCUUCACAAUUUAAACAAAAAAAAUGCAUAUAUAGGUAUAUGAACUUCGAGAGAGCUUCACCAAAGAAUUCCAGCUCAAUGAUUUCCAGUUUAUACCAAAUAAAAUUAAAUAAAUUUUUAUUAUUAAAAAAAAACUCUUAAAGUGUUUUGUUUUCUUCGCCAAUGUCAUUGUAUUUUUGUAGAAUAAAACAA